rnacentral:rRNA from 1 species
UACAGAGGUCUCAAGCGUUGUUCGGAUUCAUUGGGCGUAAAGGGUGCGUAGGUGGCGAUGUAAGUCUGGUGUGAAAUCUCGGGGCUCAACCUCGAAAUUGCAUUGGAUACUGCGUUGCUUGAGGACUGUAGAGGAGAGUGGAAUUCACGGUGUAGCAGUGAAAUGCGUAGAUAUCGUGAGGAAGACCAGUUGCGAAGGCGACUCUCUGGGCAAUUCCUGACACUGAGGCACGAAGGCCAGGGGAGCAAACGGG